rfam:Biomphalaria glabrata isolate BB02 unplaced genomic scaffold LGTN_random_Scaffold4621, whole genome shotgun sequence.
AAAACGGCCCUUUUGAGGGCCACCCCAGUCUUCUCGAAGAUAGUUU